GACGUAGGGCGCGAGCGUUGUCCGGAUUUAUUGGGCGUAAAGAGCGUGUAGGCGGCCAUACAGGUCCGUUGUGAAAACUGGAGGCUUAACCUCCAGACGUCGAUGGAAACCGUAUGGCUAGAGUCCGGAAGAGGAGAGUGGAAUUCCCGGUGUAGCGGUGAAAUGCGCAGAUAUCGGGAGGAACACCGGUGGCGAAGGCGGUUCUCUGGGCCUGUACUGACGCUGAGGAGCGAAAGCGUGGGGAGCGAACAGG
rnacentral:rRNA from 1 species